ensembl:rRNA 5S_rRNA 5S ribosomal RNA
GCUUACGGCCAUACCAGCUGAAGAACGCCCGAUCUCGUCUGAUCUCGGAAGCUAAGAAGGCUUGGGCCUGGUUAGUACUGGGAUGGGACACUGCCUGGGAAUACCAGGUGCUGUAAGCU